AAGGGAGCGAAAUUAGAGUAGCGAAGUCCGCGAUGUUCGGAGGCGAGAAAAGCUCUGAGGUAUGCUAAGGUGCCCGUACCGCAAACCGACACAGGUAGAUGAGGAGAGAAUCCUAAGGCCAACGGGAGAAGGGUUGUUAAGGAACUCGGCAAAUUGACCCCGUAACUUCGGAAGAAGGGGAGCCCCCUACGGGGGGUCGCAGAGAAAUGACCCAAGCAACUGUUUACCAAAAACACAGGUCUAUGCUAAAUCGAAAGAUGACGUAUAUGGGCUGACGCCUGCCCGGUGCCGGAAGGUUAAGAGGAGAUGUCAGGCAACGAAGCAUUGAAUUUAAGCCCCGGUAAACGGCGGCCGUAACUAUAACGGUCCUAAGGUAGCGAAAUUCCUUGUCAGGUAAGUUCUGACCCGCACGAAUGGCGUAAUGAUUUGGGCACUGUCUCAACAGCCCGCCCGGCGAAAUUGUAGUACUGGUGAAGAUGCCAGUUACCCGCAACUAGACGGAAAGACCCCAUGGAGCUUUACUGCAGCUUAAUACUGAAAUUCGGUAGUACAUGUACAGGAUAGGUGGGAGACUGAGAAAUACAGGCGUCAGCUUGUAUGGAGUCGCUGUUGGGAUACCACUCUUGUACUGCUGGGUUUCUAACCUGCGGCCGUGAAUCCGGUCGGGGGACACUGUUAGGCGGGCAGUUUGACUGGGGCGGUCGCCUCCCAAAAGGUAACGGAGGCGCUCAAAGGUUCGUUCAGCACGGACGGAAAUCGUGCAAUGAGUGUAAACGCAUAAACGAGCCUAACUGCGACACCGACGGGUGGAGCAGUAACGAAAGUUGGAGUUAGUGAUCCGGUGGUAUGUGAGUGGAAAUGCCAUCGCUCAACGGAUAAAAGCUACCCUGGGGAUAACAGGCUGAUCUCCCCCAAGCGUCCACAGCGACGGGGAGGUUUGGCACCUCGAUGUCGGCUCGUCGCAUCCUGGGGCUGAAUUCGGUCCCAAGGGUUUGGCUGUUCGCCAAUUAAAGCGGCACGCGAGCUGGGUUCAGAACGUCGUGAGACAGUUCGGUCCCUAUCUGUUGCGGGCGUAAGAGAUUUGAAGGGAGCUGUCCUUAGUACGAGAGGACCGGGAUGGACGUACCUCUGGUGCACCAGUUGUCCUGCCAAGGGCAUAGCUGGGUAGCUAUGUACGGACGAGAUAAACGCUGAAAGCAUCUAAGCGUGAAACUCCCCCUAAGAUGAGAUCUCUCAUCCUUUAAGGAGUAAGGACCCAGAAAGACGAUCUGGUUGAUAGGCCGAAGGUGGAAGCGCAGUAAUGUGUGCAGCUGAUCGGUACUAAUAGUCCGAGGGCUUGACCU
rnacentral:rRNA from 1 species